GAUGAGAACGUAGCGAAAUGCGAUAAGUAGUGUGAAUUGCAGAAUUCAGUGAAUCAUCGAAUCUUUGAACGCACAUUGCGCCCCUUGGUAUUCCAUGGGGCAUGCCUGUUCGAGCGUCAUUUGUACCUUCAAGCUUUGCUUGGUGUUGGGUGUUUGUCCUGAGGGACUCGCCUUAAAGUAAUUGGCAGCCAGUGUUUGGUUUUGAAGCGCAGCACAAGUCGCGAUUCAAAGCUAUACGCCCGCUUCCACAAGCCUUUUUCACUUUUGACCUCGGAUCAGGUAGGGAUACCCGCUGAACUUAAGCAUAUCAAUAAGCGGAAGA
rnacentral:misc_RNA from 1 species